rnacentral:rRNA from 1 species
GUGCCAGCAGCCGCGGUAAUACGUGGGUCCCGAGCGUUGUCCGGAUUUAUUGGGCGUAAAGGGAGCGCAGGCGGUCAGGAAAGUCUGGAGUAAAAGGCUAUGGCUCAACCAUAGUGUGCUCUGGAAACUGUCUGACUUGAGUGCAGAAGGGGAGAGUGGAAUUCCAUGUGUAGCGGUGAAAUGCGUAGAUAUAUGGAGGAACACCAGUGGCGAAAGCGGCUCU